rnacentral:rRNA from 1 species
GGGGAAUAUUGCGCAAUGGGCGAAAGCCUGACGCAGCGACGCCGCGUGGGGGAUGACGGCCUUCGGGUUGUAAACCUCUUUCAGCAGGGACGAAGCGAAAGUGACGGUACCUGCAGAAGAAGCACCGGCCAACUACGCGCCAGCAGCCGCGGUAAUAUGUAGGGUGCAAGCGUUGUCCGGAAUUAUUGGGCGUAAAGAGCUCGUAGGCGGUCUGUCGCGUCGGCUGUGAAAACCCGGAGCUCAACUCCGGGCCUGCAGUCGAUACGGGCAAACUGGAGUGUUGCAGGGGAGACUGGAAUUCCUGGUGUAGCGGUGAAAUGCGCAGAUAUCAGGAGGAACACCGGUGGCGAAGGCGGGUCUCUGGGCAACAACUGACGCUGAGGAGCGAAAGCGUGGGGAGCGAAC